rnacentral:rRNA from 1 species
AGUGGAAAAGGAUGUGGAGUUGCGCAGACAACUAGGACGUUGGCUCAGAAGCAGCCAUCAUUCAAAGAGUGCGUAAUAGCUCACUAGUCGAGUGACGCCGCGCCGAAAAUUUACCGGGGCUAAGCAUGAUACCGAAACUGUGGAUGUGCAUUUAUGCACGUGGUAGGAGAGCGUUCUAGCGGCGGUGAAGCAUGACCGAGAGGACAUGUGGAGCUUCUAGAAGUGAGAAUGCCGGUAUGAGUAACGAAAGACAGGUGAGAAUCCUGUCCGCCGCAAGACUAAGGUUUCCUGGGGCAGGCUCGUCCGCCCAGGGUAAGUCGGGACCUAAGGCGAGGCCGAGAGGCGUAGUCGAUGGACAACAGGUUGAAAUUCCUGUACUGCACCGAAUCGUUAUGAGCGAUGGAGGGACGCAGGAGGCUAGCAGCGCGUGGUGCUGGAUACCACGUUCAAGCGUCAAGUCUGAGAGCGAGUCAAAUGCUUGCUCUCAUAAGGACAAGGCGUGAUGAGGAGCGAAAUUAAAGUAGCGAAGGCUGCGACGUCACACUGCCGAGAAAAGCUUCUAGCCAGAGACGGUGCACCCGUACCGCAAACCGACACAGGUAGUCGAGGAGAGUAUCCUCAGGUGAGCGAGAGAACUCUCGUUAAGGAACUCGGCAAAAUGGCCCCGUAACUUCGGGAGAAGGGGCGCUGGUCGCAAGAUCAGCCGCAGUGAAAAGGCCCAAGCAACUGUUUAUCAAAAACACAGGCAUCUGCAAAAUCGUAAGAUGAAGUAUAGGUGCUGACACCUGCCCGGUGCUGGAAGGUUAAGAGGAGAGCUUAGCGCAAGCGAAGGUUUGAAUUGAAGCCCCAGUAAACGGCGGCCGUAACUAUAACGGUCCUAAGGUAGCGAAAUUCCUUGUCGGGUAAGUUCCGACCUGCACGAAAGGUGUAAUGAUUUGGGCACUGUCUCAACGAGAGACUCGGUGAAAUUAUAAUACCCGUGAAGAUGCGGGUUACCCGCGACAGGACGGAAAGACCCCAUGGAGCUUUACUGCAGUUUAAUAUUGGGUAUCUGUCAAGCAUGUACAGGAUAGGUAGGAGCCGGAGAAGAUAGGACGCCAGUCUUAUCUGAGGCGCUGUUGGGAUACUACCCUUGCUUGACGGAUGCUCUAACUCAGGCCUGUGAUCCAGGCCGAGGACAGUGUUUGACGGGCAGUUUGACUGGGGCGGUCGCCUCCUAAAGUGUAACGGAGGCGCCCAAAGGUUCCCUCAGAAUGGUUGGAAAUCAUUCGCAGAGUGUAAAGGUAAAAGGGAGCUUGACUGCGAGAGAGACAACUCGAGCAGGUACGAAAGUAGGGCUUAGUGAUCUGGUGGUACCGCAUGGAAGGGCCAUCACUCAACGGAUAAAAGCUACCCUGGGGAUAACAGGCUUAUCUCCCCCAAGAGUUCACAUCGACGGGGAGGUUUGGCACCUCGAUGUCGGCUCGUCGCAUCCUGGGGCUGAAGUCGGUCCCAAGGGUUGGGCUGUUCGCCCAUUAAAGCGGCACGCGAGCUGGGUUCAGAACGUCGUGAGACAGUUCGGUCCCUAUCCGUCGUGGGCGUAGGAAAUUUGAGAGGAGCUGUCCUUAGUACGAGAGGACCGGGAUGGACGCACCGCUGGUGUACCAGUUGUCUUGCCAAAGGCAUCGCUGGGUAGCUAUGUGCGGACGGGAUAAGCGCUGAAAGCAUCUAAGUGCGAAGCCCCCCUCAAGAUGAGAUUUCCCAUUUCUUCAAGAAAGUAAGACACCUCAGAGACGAUGAGGUAGAUAGGCCGGGAG